rnacentral:rRNA from 2 species
AAAAGUUCCCCAGCAAUUCUCGUGAUGAUGAGGCUUAGGAUUGUAAAUCCUUUCCCGGGGAAAAUAAUGUCUGUAGCCGGAGAAGAAGCCCCGGCUAACUUCGUGCCAGCAGCCGCGGUAAUACGAAGGGGGCUAGCGUUGCUCGGAAUUACUGGGCGUAAAGGGAGCGUAGGCGGACAUUUAAGUCAGAGGUGAAAUCCCGGAGCUUUCUUCCGAACUGCCUUUGAUACUGGGUGUCUUGAGUGUGAGAGAGGUAUGUGGAACUCCCACUGUAUAGGUGAAAUUCGUAGAUAUUCGGAAGAACACCCCUGGCCAAGGCGACAUACUGGCUCAUUACUGACGCUGAGGCUCUAAAACGUGGG